GUGGGGAAUCUUAGACAAUGGGGGAAACCCUGAUCUAGCCAUGCCGCGUGAGCGAUGAAGGCCUUAGGGUUGUAAAGCUCUUUCAGCUGGGAAGAUAAUGACGGUACCAGCAGAAGAAGCCCCGGCUAACUCCGUGCCAGCAGCCGCGGUAAUACGGAGGGGGCUAGCGUUGUUCGGAAUUACUGGGCGUAAAGCGCACGUAGGCGGAUCAGAAAGUCAGAGGUGAAAUCCCGGGGCUCAACCCCGGAACUGCCUUUGAAACUCCCAGUCUUGAGUUCGAGAGAGGUGAGUGGAAUUCCGAGUGUAGAGGUGAAAUUCGUAGAUAUUCGGAGGAACACCAGUGGCGAAGGCGGCUCACUGGCUCGAUACUGACGCUGAGGUGCGAAAGCGUGGGGAGCAAACAGGAUUAGAUACCCCGGUAGUCC
rnacentral:rRNA from 1 species